AUUGAACGCUGGCGGCAGGCCUAACACAUGCAAGUCGAGCGGAUGAAGGGAGCUUGCUCCUGGAUUCAGCGGCGGACGGGUGAGUAAUGCCUAGGAAUCUGCCUGGUAGUGGGGGAUAACGUCCGGAAACGGGCGCUAAUACCGCAUACGUCAUGAGGGAGAAAGUGGGGGAUCUUCGGACCUCACGCUAUCAGAUGAGCCUAGGUCGGAUUAGCUAGUUGGUGGGGUAAAGGCCUACCAAGGCGACGAUCCGUAACUGGUCUGAGAGGAUGAUCAGUCACACUGGAACUGAGACACGGUCCAGACUCCUACGGGAGGCAGCAGUGGGGAAUAUUGGACAAUGGGCGAAAGCCUGAUCCAGCCAUGCCGCGUGUGUGAAGAAGGUCUUCGGAUUGUAAAGCACUUUAAGUUGGGAGGAAGGGCAGUAAGUUAAUAGCUUGCUGUUUUGACGUUACCAACAGAGUAAGCACCGGCUAACUUCGUG
rnacentral:rRNA from 1 species